rnacentral:lncRNA from 1 species
CUUACAUAAGAUAGAUUAAAUUGUUAGAGUGGGACUGUCAGAGGAAUAUAUCUUGUAAAGUAGAUCCUCAGGGUAUGGCUAAUUACUAUAGUCCUAAAGUAGCAGAGAAAAUUAGAGAUUGGUUGACAGAUUUGGGAAUUUUAAUUUCUUCUUAGUUUUUAACUUUCAUCUUUGCUUCACCUUUUGACAAGUAUGGUUAUAAUUAGAAUUGACCAUUUAAGCAUCUCUUGAAAAACCUGAUUUUGUCCCACCAGCAAAUUCUCUCCCAAGACUGGAAUUGGGUUUGCAUAGUAGAGAGCCUGUCUUCCCAGGGCCUUUUCCUAGUUAAAGAAACACUUAACUAAAAAGGCUGUGUGGUAAGGUCAUGCUCAGUUCCUUCCUCAAAAAAUGAGUCUAAAAUUGGUUUAUCCUGAAUCCGACUUCCCCCACUGUCAUCACUUACCCUUGCCCUUCUUUUUCCUCAGAACACCUGAACUUUUGUUGUAUUAUUUUGUAUCUCCCCACUUGCAUGUAAACUCCCUGGUGACCUUGCAUGUCUUAUGCAAUCCUCAUUAAAACCUUUUGUUUUUUUUUUUAA